GGAGUAGAUUUUAGUACGUAGGCAUCAUGAAUGAUGAAUCGUUCAUGCUACUCGUAUCGGUCAGUAGUAUCUUUCGAAGAUUUCUACCUCC
rfam:Glossina brevipalpis unplaced genomic scaffold Scaffold10, whole genome shotgun sequence.